rnacentral:tRNA from 2 species
GCGCUUGUAGCUCAGUGGUUAGAGCAGUGGACUCAUAAUCCAUUGGUCGUAGGUUCAAAUCCUACCAGGCGCA